UUGGCUCAGGAUGAACGCUGGCGGCAUGCCUUACACAUGCAAGUCGAACGGUAACAGGUUAAGCUGACGAGUGGCGAACGGGUGAGUAAUAUAUCGGAACGUGCCCAGUCGUGGGGGAUAACUACUCGAAAGAGUAGCUAAUACCGCAUACGACCUGAGGGUGAAAGCGGGGGAUCGCAAGACCUCGCGCGAUUGGAGCGGCCGAUAUCAGAUUAGGUAGUUGGUGGGGUAAAAGCUCACCAAGCCAACGAUCUGUAGCUGGUCUGAGAGGACGACCAGCCACACUGGGACUGAGACACGGCCCAGACUCCUACGGGAGGCAGCAGUGGGGAAUA
rnacentral:rRNA from 1 species